rnacentral:rRNA from 1 species
AACGAACGCUGGCGGCAGGCCUAACACAUGCAAGUCGAGCGAAGCCUUCGGGCUUAGCGGCGGACGGGUGAGUAACGCGUGGGAACGUGCCCUUUGGUACGGAAUAGCCCCGGGAAACUGGGAGUAAUACCGUAUGUGGUCGAGAGACGAAAGAUUUAUCGCCAAAGGAUCGGCCCGCGUUGGAUUAGGUAGUUGGUGGGGUAAUGGCCUACCAAGCCGACGAUCCAUAGCUGGUUUGAGAGGAUGAUCAGCCACACUGGGACUGAGACACGGCCCAGACUCCUACGGGAGGCAGCAGUGGGGAAUCUUAGACAAUGGGGGAAACCCUGAUCUAGCCAUGCCGCGUGAUCGAUGAAGGCCUUAGGGUUGUAAAGAUCUUUCAGUGGGGAAGAUAAUGACUGUACCCACAGAAGAAGUCCCGGCUAACUCCGUGCCAGCCGCCGCGGUAACAC